rnacentral:tRNA from 1 species
GGUAAGAUGGCUGAACGUCAAGCGGUGGGUUGUAGCCCCAUAUACAGAGGUUAGACUCCUCUUUUUACCA